rnacentral:rRNA from 1 species
UACGUAGGGUGCAAGCGUUAAUCGGAAUUACUGGGCGUAAAGCGUGCGCAGGCGGUUAUGUAAGACAGGUGUGAAAUCCCCGGGCUUAACCUGGGAACUGCAUUUGUGACUGCAUAGCUAGAGUACGGUAGAGGGGGAUGGAAUUCCGCGUGUAGGCAGUGAAAUGCGUAGAUAUUGGGAGGAACACCGGGUGGCGAAGGCGGCUACCUGGACCGGUACUGACGCUGAGGCGCCGAAAGCUAGGGUAGCAAACAGG